rnacentral:rRNA from 1 species
GACGAACGCUGGCGGCGUGCUUAACACAUGCAAGUCGAACGCUGAACCCUCCUCUGUGUUGUGGGAUUGGGGUACGGGAGAGUAACACGGGGGCAAACUACGCCCGGCUCUGGGCUAACACCAGGAAAUUGGGGCGAAUACCUGAGGUGACUGCUCGCCACGUGUGCUGGGUGGUGACAGUGUUUCAGGCUGGGGUUGUGCGCGCGGCGUAUCAGCUUGUGGGUGGGGUAGUGGCCGGCCAGGGCGUGGCCGGGUAGCGGGCCGGCGAGGGUGCCCGGCCCAACUGGGCCUGAGACACGGCCCAGACUGCUACGGGAGGCAGCAGUGGGGAAUAGUGCGCAAUGGGCGGAAGCCUGACGCAGCGAAGCCGCGUGGGGGAUGACGGCAUUCGGGUUGUAAACCUCUUUCCGAAGGGACGAAGCGCAAGUGACGGUAACUGGAGAAGAAGCAACGGCCAAAUACGUG